AGCACUGUAUGGUGUCUGUAGCCAGCUGCUCCAUCAGCAGGCUUGUUCAAAUGUCAGUGCCAGAGCAAAGUCAGCACAUGGCAUCGUUGGUCUCCUCGCUGCGUGUGUGGGGAGUCCUGGUAUGACUGACACACCA